rfam:Triticum urartu cultivar G1812 contig172550, whole genome shotgun sequence.
CACCUACUCUCUUCGUCCAAAAAAAUUUGUCCCAAUCUUGUUUUUUAAAUGAAUGUAUCUAGCACUAAUUUGGUGUUAAAUACAUUCAUUUGUGAGACAAACUUUUCCGGACGAAGAGAAUAAGAA